UCCUCUGACUGGAGACCAGGUCUACAUCGG
rnacentral:piRNA from 1 species